AAUCUACUGUCUUUCCUAAGGAGACAGUCAGGUCAUCACACAACCAUCUCAGUGCUGCCGGUGGAGUCGCAGCCGAGCUCGAGCGCACCCCUGUGCCAGGUUGGGGCUGUGGCGCUCAGCAGGCCUCUGUACUGCUCUGUGGAGGUGAGGUAGUAGGUUGUAUAGUUUGGUGGGAGGGAUUUCAUCCCAUUUCAGGUGAUAACUAUACAGUCUAUUGCCUUCCUUAAAGAGCAGCAAAACGGCUUGAGGAACGGCCCAGCCACAGAGCUCCAGGGGCAUCCCCUCUUUCCAAUGAGGGCUUCAAACCAGGAUGUGAACAACCUCUCAACGUUCUUCUCCUGCGGUGUCCAGAGUCUUGUCAUUCUGGGCCUAUCACUGAUCUCAGGCACGGGAAUAGAAAGCCGUCCGCUUCAAUUAAUGCCCAUUCAUCCAUUUUAAAAGUGUAAGGUACCAGGGCAGCGAAAGCAUAGGUUGCAGACCCCUGGGUUAGGUGGUGCGUUACUAUUCGACGGAGUCAUCAGAUGCCUGUGUUUAGAGCUCACUCUUUUCCAGGAGAUGAGACCAAGCUCAGAAGGAUUUGGACCCCGACUCCAGUCCACUCUUCCCCAGAAUUCUGGGGUAUUUGGAUACACUGUUCGGCUCUGGGUCUGCUAUAGAAAGUUGAGGACUGGACCCAAAGUUAGGGUGUGGAUCUGGGCAUCUAAUUUAAGCCUUUUAUACAACAGGGCCCAGCUGUGAAUGUUGGGUCUGGAUCUGGAUCCAGUUCCAAACUUAGCGAGUGGUUUGAGGGCACUGGGGACUGUUCUGGUUUGGCCUGCAGGCCCCAACUUGCAGAGUUCGGAGCUGGAUUUGGAUCCAAGGCUGUGCCUUGACUGGGGUUUAAUUUGCUGUGUCCCAUCUCCAGUGAAUAUAGGAUGCAUUUUGUCCUGUAUUUCAGCACUAUUAAUGCAAGAGAAUCCUAUACACUGAGACUGUAUGAUUUUGUGCCAUGAAUAUAAUGCUGUGAAGGGAACUGCCCCUUGUCUGGUAUUUGUUUUUUGUAGUUUAUUUUUAUUGCCUUGAAACAGAGGUGGUAGGAGAAGUAGGACCUUCUACGCAUAAAGCAACGUGUUUCAACCUAUUCAUAAUCUUAGCAGCAUAGGAAUUGCCAGACUGGAUGAGACCCAAGGGCCAUCCAGUCCAGUAUUCCAUCUCCAACACCAGCCAACACCAGAUGCUUGAGACAAAGGUGUAAGAACGCAGAGUAGUAAACAUGGAAUAAUCUGCUCCCCCUGAAGGUCUCAUCCUGGUCUCUAAUAGUUAGAAACUGAAUUAAGAUCUGAAACACAAGGUUUAGUAUUCCUUCCAAAAAAAUUGUAAUUAAUUAUGAUGAUUCUCAAUAUCCAUAUAAUUGUCCAAUCCCAUUUUGAAUCUUGGUAAGUUCUUGGCUUCAGUGACAUUAGGCUGGUGUUCAGAGCUAAAUGGACUCUAAUAACAUGUAGUAGAGUUGAGCAAAUAACUGAUUUUUUUUGUUUGUUGGACAAAACAAAGAAAAAUUGUUCUGGGUCAUAUGAAAUGCUACGUUCAACACAGAACUAUUUCCCCCGAUUUCUGAUUUUGUUACGUUUUCGGGUGUUUUUUACCCUUUGGUUUAAAAAAAAUUAAUCUAGCUAAAUUUCAACACGAAACCUUUCCAAAUGAAAAGUUGAAACAUUGCAGUUAAAAAACAGUCAAAAUGAACCACUUUGACUUUUCAGAAAAAUGUUUGUCAUCGUUUUUUAAUCAGCUAAAACUGUUUGCUGAACUGAACCCGAAUUCAUUGAUAGCUUUGGUUGUCUCAAAACUGAAUUUCUCAGUGAAUAAACUGUUUGAGUGAAACAUUUCACCCAGCUCCAGUUCAGGUGGAUAGCUAGCUGACAUAGGAGAUAAAUGACAACACAGAUAAUAAGCUGGGCACCUGCUGUAUUUUCAGGUGGUGUCAUAAAAGCUGACUAGGAAACAAAGGUUAUAAUGAGGGAAUCAGAAUGUAAAUAGAAGGAACCAUCAUAUAAAACCCAAGCUAAGAGCUGUGAAGGGAGCUCCAGCUGUUUGGUUUGAAUCCCUGCUCCACACACCUAGGAUCUUGGUUGGGGAACAGAUGCUGUUCAAAGCCACAAGGAUAUUCACUAGCUCACAAGAAAACUUGCUGUUCAUUAUUUGUAGUGAUGUUUGACAUUUGGUUUUGAAUUAGUUGGAGAAUUUCACUGAAAUUUUGAAUUCUAAUAAAAUAUGAAAAAUAGGGAU